rnacentral:misc_RNA from 1 species
GUCUAUAAUAGGAUAUGACACAGAAGAGGGGACCUGAUUAGGAGCAGGUGUGGAAACACCAUCACCAACUAACAAUGUAUCAUUUAUAGGGAAAUUCAGCUCCUGGUCCUUCUUAGUCUGCCCAACAUCACCCAUGGGCACUGGAACUGAGGUAGAAUUGCAAGGCUCCAGAAAACUACUAUCCAUUGCAGGCUGCAGAUUCACAUCUAUUAUUUGAGGGCUUUUGGAGCCAGCACAGUCAGGGGGUAAAUUCAAGUUCAAACCUCUAACUCCAUUAACCGAGUCUUUCAUGGAAUUGUCAACCUGGAUAAGAACCCAAACACGUUGACCAAAUUUUGUGCCUGAUGGGGAUGCCAU